AUUGAACGCUGGCGGCAGGCCUAACACAUGCAAGUCGAGCGAGCGGCGGACGGGUGAGUAAUGUAUGGUGACUGCACGAUAGAGGGGGAUAACGAAUGGAAAAGGUAGAUAAUACCGCAUAAAAUAGGAUAACCCAUAUGGGAGUAGCUAGUAGGGGAGGUAAGGGCUCACCUAGGAGACGAUCCCUAGAUGGGCUGAGAGGAUGAUCAGCCACACUGGGACUGAUACACGGCCCAGACUCCUACGGAGGCAGCAGUGGGGAAUAUUGCACAAUGGGCGCAAGCCUGAUGCAGCCAUGCCGCGUGUAUGAAGAAGGCCCUAGGGUUGUAAAGUACUUUCAGUCGGGAGGCGUUACCGACAGAAGAAGCACCGGCUAACUCCGUGCCAGCAGCCGCGGUAAUUC
rnacentral:rRNA from 1 species